GACGAACGCUGGCGGCGUGCUUAACACAUGCAAGUCGAACGGAAAGGCCCUGCUUUUGUGGGGUGCUCGAGUGGCGAACGGGUGAGUAACACGUGAGUAACCUGCCCCUGACUUUGGGAUAACUUCAGGAAACUGGGGCUAAUACCGGAUAGGAGCUCCUGCUGCAUGGUGGGGGUUGGAAAGUUUCGGCGGUUGGGGAUGGACUCGCGGCUUAUCAGCUUGUUGGUGGGGUAGUGGCUUACCAAGGCUUUGACGGGUAGCCGGCCUGAGAGGGUGACCGGCCACAUUGGGACUGGGAUACGGCCCAGACUCCUACGGGAGGCAGCAGUGGGGAAUAUUGCACAAUGGGCGGAAGCCUGAUGCAGCAACGCCGCGUGCGGGAUGACGGCCUUCGGGUUGUAAACCGCUUUCGCCUGUGACGAAGCGUGAGUGACGGUAAUGGGUAAAGAAGCACCGGCUAACUACGUG
rnacentral:rRNA from 1 species